rnacentral:tRNA from 1 species
GCCCGGAUGGCGAAAUUGGUAGACGCAAGGGACUUAAAAUCCCUCGUUCGUAAGGACGUGCCGGUUCGACCCCGGCUCCGGGCACCA